rnacentral:guide_RNA from 1 species
AAAUAUAGGGCAAUAAUCACCCUAUUAUAUAUGAUUAAU